rnacentral:rRNA from 1 species
UACGUAGGGGCCUAGCGUUGUCCGGAUUUAUUGGGCGUAAAGAGCUCGUAGGCGGUUCGGUAAGUCGGAUGUGAAAUCUCCACGCUCAACGUGGAGGCGCCAUCCGAUACUGCCGUGACUUGAGUCCGGUAGGGGAGUGUGGAAUUCCCGGUGUAGCGGUGAAAUGCGCAGAUAUCGGGAGGAACACCCGUAGCGAAGGCGGCACUCUGGGCCGGUACUGACGCUGAGGAGCGAAAGCGUGGGGA